rnacentral:lncRNA from 1 species
CCCUUCCUAGCUUCAUCUUCUCAAAACGACCUCCCCCCUUUUAAUCAUCUUCAAGAAAACUAAAAGAAGCAGCGAACAAAAUUCAGUCACAUAACACAACCCUUUUGAGGGAGCUUCUUCUUCAAAACAUGACUUAAUCAGACCAAUACACCAUAAGCAACACAAAGACAAUUGUGCCCCUCAUCUGAAAAUCAUAUCAAUCAGCCGUGAAAAUUCGUUUUUGUUUUUGGUUCCUUAAGAACUGACAAAUUUGUCGUUCCUUCACCUCUCACAAAGAUAAUACCAAAGUUUCUGAAUCUUCAGCUCAAAUCUCGAACUCCUGUUGUUACUGCUUUUUUGUGACUUCGCUUCUUUCCGUGGCUACUAAUUUCAAGCUCAGGCCUGCGCCGUAGGUACAUCCAUCGGAACCUGUUGACUUCAGUUGGUUCGAGAAACUCCGGCUACCUCCAUUAACACCGACAAAAUUGCUAAGGUUUUCCGGUCAAGGUCAUGCUGGCGUUUCCCCUCCCGAUUCUGUUAUUCGAUUCAAGCUUUUCUUAGCUCAAUGGUUAUUGUUAUUGUAUAAAGCUCGGCUUGGAUUUCUCUUUAUUUAAUACAUAAAAAAUGGCUUUCCAC